UAACUUUCUGUCGUGUCAGCAACUUUUCAAUUCAAUUGAUGUUCAGUGCUACGUCACAGCCGGAAUCUUUACCCGGUCAGCGGGAUAACUUUUCUCCAUAUGAACAGAACAAAAGUAUUUGGCUAGUCGAAAAGUUUUCUCGUUAACCGGGAUAACUUUUGCCCAUAUGAACAGGCCCUUAGUCAGUGAUUAGUGGCACUUUAAAUUUACGCAAAUCGGCAGGAUUUUGUACCAGAUGUACAAGCUCCUUCGCGUCAUGUUUUCUUUCGUAUCAGUUAUUCAUAAAUUAUAUACAAAUGUACGUCAAAACAUACCCUUCCAGCAGCCAGUUUCUUUUCAGCCGCGUAAACUCUUUUUCCACAUCUGGGACAGUCAUCUUGACCACCAGGGAUGGGUUUGCCAUCAAAUGUAUCGGCACCUCCUGGCUUUGACGCACUGGGUGCCGUAGAACUAGGAGAACUUUUUCCAAAAUCCAUAGAAAGCACACCAGCACCUUGACCAUAUCCGUAACCAUGUAGCCCAAAGUUCUUACCGUGGCAGGAUUUGCAAUAAGCUUUGUCU